rnacentral:rRNA from 1 species
UGCGUAGGCGGAAGAUUAAGUCAGUGGUGAAAUCCUGCAGCUCAACUGUAGAACUGUCAUUGAUACUGAUAUUCUUGAAUGUAGUUGAGGUAGGCGGAAUGUGUAAUGUAGCGGUGAAAUGCUUAGAUAUUACACAGAACACCGAUUGCGAAGGCAGCUUACUAAACUAUGAUUGACGCUGAGGCACGAAAGCGUGGGGAGCGAACAGGAUUAGAUACCCUGGUAGUCC